CAGAGAGGAGACAGAGGAGACAGAGAGGAGACAGAGAUGAGACAGCGAGGAGACAGGGGAGGAGAGAGAGGAGACAGGGGAGACAGAGAGGAGACAGAGAGGAUACAUACAGUAGACAGGGGAGGCAGAGAGGAGACAGAGAGGAGACAGGGGAGGCAGAGAGGAGGCAGAGAGGAGGCAGAGAGGAGGCAGAGAGGAGACAGAGAGGAGACAGAGAGGAGACAGGGGAGGCAGAGAGGAGGCAGAGAGGAGACAGGGGAGGCAGAGAGGAGACAGGGGAUGCAGAGAGGAGGCAGAGAGGAGACAGGGGAGGCAGAGAGGAGACAGAGAGGAGAG
ensembl:lncRNA